rnacentral:rRNA from 1 species
GACGAACGCUGGCGGCGUGCUUAACACAUGCAAGUCGAACGGUGAAGCGCCUUCCUUUUUGGUGGGUGUGGAUGAGUGGCGAACGGGUGAGUAACACGUGAGUAACCUGCCCCCUUCUUCUGGAUAACCGCAUGAAAGGGUGGCUAAUACGGGAUAUUCUGGGUCUGUCGCAUGAUGGGUCUGGGAAAGAUAUUGUUUCGGUGGGGGAUGGGCUCGCGGCCUAUCAGCUUGUUGGUGGGGUGAUGGCCUACCAAGGCGGUGACGGGUAGCCGGCCUGAGAGGGUGGACGGUCACACUGGGACUGGGACACGGCCCAGACUCGUACGGGAGGCAGCAGUGGGGAAUAUUGCACAAUGGGCGCAAGCCUGAUGCAGCGACGCCGCGUGAGGGAUGGAGGCCUUCGGGUUGUAAACCUCUUUCGCCAGUGAAGCAGGCCUGCCUCGUUUGUGGGUGGGUUGACGGUAGCUGGAUAAGAAGCGCCGGCUAACUACGUG